rnacentral:rRNA from 1 species
AGAGUUUGAUCCUGGCUCAGAAUCAACGCUGGCGGCGUGCCUAACACAUGCAAGUCGAACGCGAAAGAAUUCUUCGGAAAUUGAGUAGAGUGGCGAACGGGUGAGUAACGCGUGGGUCACCUGCCCCGAGAUGGGGGAUAACCCGGGGAAACCCGGGCUAAUACCGCAUAAGCCUUACGAGGGAAAGCCUUAGGGUGUCUUGGGAGGGGCCUGCGUCCGAUUAGCUAGUAGGUGGGGUAAGAGCUCACCUAGGCGUCGAUCGGUAACCGGUCUGAGAGGACGGACGGUCACACUGGGACUGAGACACGGCCCAGACUCCUACGGGAGGCAGCAGUGGGGAAUUUUGCGCAAUGGGGGAAACCCUGACGCAGCAACGCCGCGUGGAGGAAGAAGGUUUUCGAAUCGUAAACUCCUGUCCGGAAGGAAGAAAAAAAUGACGGUACUUCUGGAGGAAGCCCCGGCUAACUCCGUGCCAGCAGCCGCGGUAAUACGGGGGGGGCGAGCGUUGUUCGGAUUUACUGGGCGUAAAGGGCGCGUAGGCGGUGAGAGAAGUUUUGGGUGAAAGCCCCCGGCUCAACCGGGGAAGUGCCUGGAAAACCAUCUGACUGGAGUGCUGGAGAGGCAAGCGGAAUUUCUGGUGUAGCGGUGAAAUGCGUAGAUAUCAGAAGGAACAUCGGAGGCGAAGGCGGCUUGCUGGACAGACACUGACGCUGAGGCGCGAAAGCUAGGGGAGCAAACGGGAUUAGAUACCCCGGUAGUCCUAGCCGUAAACGAUGGGUACUUGGUGUAGGGGGUUUUGAAAGUCCCUCUGUGCCGGCGAUAACUCGUUAAGUACCCCGCCUGGGGAGUACGAUCGCAAGAUUGAAACUCAAAGGAAUUGACGGGGGCCCGCACAAGCGGUGGAGCAUGUGGUUUAAUUCGACGCAACGCGAAGAACCUUACCGGGGUUUAAACUGUGGUGGAAGUUAGCAGAGAUGUUGAUGUCUCUUCGGAGACUGCCACAGAGGUGCUGCAUGGCUGUCGUCAGCUCGUGUCGUGAGAUGUUGGGUUAAGUCCCGCAACGAGCGCAACCCUUGUCUGUAGUUGCCAUCAGGUUAAGCUGGGCACCCUACGGAGACUGUCGGCGAGAAGCCGGAGGAAGGUGGGGAUGACGUCAAGUCCUCAUGGCCUCCAUGCCCCGGGCUACACACGUGCUACAAUGGGCGGUACAAAGAGCAGCCAACUCGCGAGAGUGAGCGAAUCUCAGAAAGCCGUUCUCAGUUCGGAUUGCAGUCUGCAACUCGACUGCAUGAAGUUGGAAUCGCUAGUAAUCGUGGAUCAGCACGCCACGGUGAAUACGUUCCCGGGCCUUGUACACACCGCCCGUCACAUCACGAAAGUGGGCUGCACUAGAAGCCGCUGAGCUAACCCAUUGGGAGGCAGGCGUCGACGGUGUGAUUCAUGAUUGGGGUGAAGUCGUAACAAGGUAACC